GGCUUACUGACUACUGUGUACCAGACCUUGGCUAGUUUUUGUUUUCGCAGUCUCUUUAUUCCCUUGACCUCGGCUCGUUCUUGACUCUGUCUAUUCUCUGCUAUACGGCGAGUCCGGCCAUUCUAAGGUCCGGUAAGUCGUAUCUGCUCUAUCUGUCGAUUGUUGGACUAAAUCUUGCGUGUAGGGGUAAACUACAGUGACAUUACGAUAGGGCCAUGGACCCCGCAGAUUUAAGUCAGCAAUUGGCUUCUCAUGAGGCUAGAUUUGCAGAGCAGGAUCACCGC